rnacentral:rRNA from 1 species
ACACUCCUGCGGGAGACAGCAGUGGGGAAUAUUGCACAAUGGGCGCAAGCCUGAUGCAGCCAUGCCGCGUGUAUGAAGAAGGCCUUCGGGUUGUAAAGUACUUUCAGCGGGGAGGAAGGCGAUAAGGUUAAUAACCUUGUUGAUUGACGUUACCCGCAGAAGAAGCACCGGCUAACUCCGUGCCAGCAGCCGCGGUAAUACGGAGGGUGCAAGCGUUAAUCGGAAUUACUGGGCGUAAAGCGCACGCAGGCGGUCUGUCAAGUCGGAUGUGAAAUCCCCGGGCUCAACCUGGGAACUGCAUUCGAAACUGGCAGGCUAGAGUCUUGUAGAGGGGGGUAGAAUUCCAGGUGUAGCGGUGAAAUGCGUAGAGAUCUGGAGGAAUACCGGUGGCGAAGGCGGCCCCCUGGACAAAGACUGACGCUCAGGUGCGAAAGCGUGGGGAGCAAACAGGAUUAGAAACCCCGGUAGUCC